GGAGGCAGCAGUGGGGAAUAUUGCACAAUGGGCGCAAGCCUGAUGCAGCCAUGCCGCGUGUAUGAAGAAGGCCUUCGGGUUGUAAAGUACUUUCAGCAGUGAGGAAGGGGGUGUCGUUAAUAGCGGCAUCUCUUGACGUUAGCUGCAGAAGAAGCACCGGCUAACUCCGUGCCAGCAGCCGCGGUAAUACGGAGGGUGCGAGCGUUAAUCGGAAUUACUGGGCGUAAAGCGCAUGCAGGUGGUUUGUUAAGUCAGAUGUGAAAGCCCGGGGCUCAACCUCGGAACUGCAUUUGAAACUGGCAAACUAGAGUACUGUAGAGGGGGGUAGAAUUUCAGGUGUAGCGGUGAAAUGCGUAGAGAUCUGAAGGAAUACCAGUGGCGAAGGCGGCCCCCUGGACAGAUACUGACACUCAGAUGCGAAAGCGUGGGGAGCAAACAGGAUUAGAUACCCUGGUAGUCCACGCCGUAAACGAUGUCUACUUGGAGGUUGUGGCCUUGAGCCGUGGCUUUCGGAGCUAACGCGUUAAGUAGACCGCCUGGGGAGUACGGUCGCAAGAUUAAAACUCAAAUGAAUUGACGGGGGCCCGCACAAGCGGUGGAGCAUGUGGUUUAAUUCGAUGCAACGCGAAGAACCUUACCUACUCUUGACAUCCAGAGAACUUCCAGAGA
rnacentral:rRNA from 1 species